rnacentral:pre_miRNA from 1 species
AGUGAGAUAGUUGGGUCAUAUGGUGUUUCCAUUCCUAGUCUUUUUGAGAAAUCUCCAUGCUGCUUUCCAUAGUGAUUGUACUAAUUUGAAAUUCCACUAACAAU